AGCCGUUCGCUUGACUAUUUACGCAUUUUAUUGUCAUGAAGACUUAUUCGCUUUUGUGUGUGUGUGUGUUUGAAGGCGUCUGAUACACUGGCCACAGGAUGCAGCCAAAUACUCAUAUCAUGAUAGCAUCGUUGUUCUUUGCAGAAAUUAAUUUUGGCUCAUUUUCUUUUUCCAUACUCGCCAAUAGCAUCGUCUGCCUGAAUUCACUUUUGAUAAACGCUUAUAUUAAUGGAAGUCAAAAUAUGUACACAAAUAAAUUGAUAAAUAAUGAAUAUUUCUUUUUUCUUUUUGAAUUGUAUUAUUUAUUUUAUUUGAUACAUUUCAAUGUUCUAGCUGCUUACUUGUGUAUGUUUCAUGAUUGUAAGAAGUUAUUUGUUUCAUUCUUGCUUGCUAUGAGAUUUUGUAUUACAUAUGGAGAGGUCGACGAGCAAUGCUCUAGGGUGAAAUUGGAUUUUCAACUACUGCAGUGCAUUAAGCCGUGGUCUAGUACAUUUUUGUUUUGUGUUACAAAUAUAUAUCGCUCUCCUCAAUGCGGGCUGUGGGGUAUGCAUUCCAGUCUGUCUUAACAAUAGUCACGGACUUUAUGAUUCUCGUUUCGGAAGGAAGGUCCAUUGAGGGUCAAUCUUGAGUUCUACUAUGAGACUUGACCAAAGGGAAGAAUAUUAUUCGAAAGGCAGGAAUGAGAGAUUGGCUCUUGACUGAAUGACUGAAUCCUCUGUCCGUAGUUCUUACUGGCUCUUGAGUGAAUGACUAAACCCUCUAUCCAAAGGUCUUAUUGGCUCAUGACGGAAUGACUGAACCUUCUGUCCUUAGGUCACCGUUAGCCACACUCAAAACGUUCAAGGCAUACUACAAUAAGUACAUUUGGUUCGUUUCCUACUGGUAUUUCUAAAACGGCUCUAAAGAUUGUCCAAGAAAUUUGACAGGCUAUGCAUAUCUUUGGGGGGAAAUAGCUGCCUAAUUGGCCACACAGGGAAAACUCUGGUUUUACCGUCAUAAUAUUUUCAAAAUAUGACCAUCCUAAAAUUAAAUUUGGGCUUACCUCUUUUUAAUUUGAGCACGGCUUCAGCGGGAAUUCCCGCACUGGACUCAAAUGUUUCAUUGUGUUCAGUAGUGAGUGUCCUAAAUAAAUAGAUGAACGUUAACAAUCUUCGCACCGUCGUGUGUAGACUUAUAAAGCUCCAGUCCACAUUUCAUAGUAACUUCAUAAGCUGGAAGGUUAAUAGAAGAACUUGAUUGUGCACAACUAACUGGGAAGACGCCUUGCAAUAGUGAAACAUUACAAGAAAUAAGUAGAAUAAAGGAGAAAUGGAUUUAAAAAUAUUUUUUUUAGUUGCAAUGAAUUUUUAUGAAUUACAAAAAGAAAAACAAAAAAUAAUAAUAAAUAAUAAAAUACUCAGAAAGACGCAAAGCUAUAGCACAUUUCAUAUUCCAUACGCUAGAACGAAUUCGCACAAGUGCUCCUUCUUCCCAAAUGCCUGAAACAGCCAGGAAAACCAACGACUGGGCAGAGUUGAAGUCACUGAUUAACAUGCAUAACUAGAUUGACACAUGAAAUGCUUAGGACAUAACUAUCUUCUUUUUUGAAGUAACGUCUAUAUUCUAUAAGAAUAAUAAGGCUUGUCUUCGAGUUCGAAGAUUAGUGAGGGAUGCAGUAUUUCCCCGUGGCUGCGCAGCCCCAGCUGUGACCUACAUAUUUUGCCACAUCCAAGCAUAACCAUUGUCCGCAGGUGGUCUAUUAAGAUUUUCUUUUCAACGUCUGCGUCUGUCUUCGGCAGCGGAUUUUCUUUUGGUCUCAAUAAGAUAAGUGUUAAAACUAAAAAUGAUAGCAAUGUCUUCGAUUCCGAAGAUUAAGGAUGAGUGCUGUGUUUGACUAGGCAAACCCAUCUUGUACAGACAAAGACGUUCUCCACCGGCGGUCUAUUUAAUUUUUGUUGUCCAUCUUCUACGCCUGUCUUUAAUAAGAGCUUGGGAAAUGGGGGGGGGGGGUUAAAUGUGUGUCCCAGCAGCCUUUGUGAGAGCUCUUCGACUUUCAGGGUUAGAAGUACUGUAAUCGCAUUGACCUAGACAUCUCCAUAUGUACUAAGCUCAGUGGAUGGACCUCUCCUCAUGUGCACAAAAAACGCAUCUCCAUGAGUUAUUGUCGCCACUUUUUCAAAUAUUUACAGUCAAUAAAUGCUUACAAUGCUUAUUCCUUCAUAUUUUGAAUGUAAAUACAUGAAAUAUAUAAACUUAUAAAUAGACAUGUUGUACAUAGACUGGUGCAAGAUGUGUGAGGUAAUCAGAUCUAACACUUCCUGUCUUAGAAACUAUCUUUUAGUUCUGUUUCGAGAUUUGAACACAAACCACACAGAGAUGACUGCUUGAUUUCUUUAUAACUAUGAGCAACUUUUAGUGUUAAGAAGUGUCUUUUUUAAAAAAUGAAAUUAAGCAUUAUAAUUUGUGCAUCUUUUUUGCUGGGGCAUUUUAGGUCGCUGUAAUAUUUUUGAAAUUCACUAUUAAUACGUUAUCUGUUGUAUCAAAAGAAAGUUAUAUCUAUCGUUAUAAUUAUAGCAAAACUCUAUUGAAAUAAAAAUAGUAAUUUAACUUCGUUUAUUAAAAGUUACUUCAAAAUUAUAAAAGAAAUAAAUUUAUUUUUUUUAAUGUUAGGGAUUAUUUAGUAGUACUAAGAAGUGACUUCUUUUUUUUUUUUUUUUGAAGUAACGUCUGUAUUUUAUAAGAUUAGAAGAUAAGACUAUGCAAAUAAUACUUUUUUGGAAUUAGGAAUGAAAUUGAGACUCAGUAAGCAUUAGUUUCGAGAUACAAACAUUUUUUGUUUAUCCAAUAGCAAUCUGUGAUAUCUCUCUGUCAAUUAUCUCGUUCAAAUGUUUCAUGUGUUUAAUUAAUCAGUCAUCAUAUUUUGUUCAUUUUUUUAAAAACUCUCUUUGCAUUCACGAUUGGAUACACAUUUUUGUUGUUGUAUUGAAACAUAACAAUAGAUAGACAAUGACUGCCUGUGAAAAUAGAAGAUGAUCUUUAUGAGUAGAAUGUUAUUAUUGCUCUUCUACUGGUGUACCAGGUUCAUUGUUUUGUUAUCUUGGGAGUGGCCCUCAUGAACAAAAAAAAAGCUUCCUACUUAUUUUCAGUGCUCGGUUUAUUUGUAACCUAACUUCUUGUUCAUGGACAAUUUUAAAUAUUUUUUUUAUUUCUUUUCCAAAGCUUAUUCUUAUUUCUUGACAUUUCGUGUGGCAGAAGUCUUUUAAACGUAGUUUUCUCACGCUUCCCAUUCUUGGAUCAAGUUGUAACUUUGUACAGUUAUUCACUCUCCAUGACAACACGAGAAUAAAAAAAAAAUAAAGCCAAUUAAUUAAUAAGUGAUAAUUUAUUAAUUUAGUUUAUUUUAUAUAAAAAGAGAAAUAAAUCUUGCAAUAUUGAGAGAGAAAAAAGUAAUAGAGCAGUACUUUCUCUUAUAUAAAGUUGCUUAAUUUAAAAGUAUUUUUAUAUGUUUUUUUUUUGCUUGUUUUUUUGCUAAAUUCGCUGCAAGGUCUAGACUCUUGACAAAGCUCCAAUAAAGUUAGUCACGCCACUAAAAUCAAAUACGCGAGAGAAAAACAAAAUGGUUGUGCACGUGAUUUCUGACACGCCCAAUCUCGGAUCAAGUUGAAAUUUGGCACAAUUAUUUCUUUGACCUGACAACACAGUAAUCAAUAAAAUAAAAUUAACCAAUUAGCUUAUUACCUAUUGGUAAUUAAUUAUUUUUUUUUGUUUGGUAUCUCUAACAAGGGAAAUAAAUUUUACAUAACUUAAGGGGUGGUUUUAAGCUGAAAUAGUCCCCUUUAUAGGUCGUCAUAGACUAUAGAAGCAAUAGAUAACUGUACAAUCUUCCAUACGUUCUCUACUAGCAGAGUGGUUACCGUCUAGACUUGAGAAGCCUGAGAAGACUUGAGCCAUAAGUUGGGAUUCAAGUCGUCCCCCCCACCCUAUUUUUUUAAAUAUAAAUUCUUUUUUAUGUUAGUCUAGAUCUAUUACAAAAUUACAUGACCAAUCCAAACUCAUAUCAUACGCUUAAUAUACGUUUUAUUUAAUAUAAGGAGUGCUAUUGAUGACUUUUACUGAUUCGUAUGACAUUACGUUUAAACUAGUUCGCGUAUAGCAAUUAGUAUCUCUCUUCGUUAGGCUUAGGUUCUAGGUGUUAAACUCUAUUGAAAUACCGAACACAUGUACAGGCAUUUAGAUUUGUUUCAGAGUUUCCUUUGUUACUAUACUGCUUUCUGUUGAUAUACUUAUUACACUUCAUAAUGCUUCUAUUGUUGCUCUUCGGAUUUCUGUGACUUUUAAUUCUUUACUAGCCUUCAAAUUAUCUUUUCUUUUAUUCAUGCCAUUUAUUUGGAUUGUUCCCCUUUAGUUUUUUCUGAAACUUCUUUAUGCUAUUUAUAGAACAAAGUGAUACAUUUCUAGAAAAACGGCAUAACAGCUGUUGUAAUAAAAGUUUGUAGAAACUAGUCUGAUGUUAAAAAAAAAAGAAUUCCAAAAUAAUAUACCAGGAUGCCAAAUGGGCUACACUGGUCUAGUUCUUAAUAUGUUUAUGUUGAAUUUUUUGAGUCCUACUUCUUAAAUAUGUCAAAGUUUUUAGAAUUUCGCUAUAAAAUAAAAGCUGCCACUUUCUGUAAUUUUGACCCACACGGUGUAUACAUGCCAACUUCCUAUUUUUUUUUUUUUUUUUGGUAGGUGUGACAUUCAAUUUCCUUUAUCUCUGUAGAUAAUGAUGUUUAAAUUAAGUCCCAAUGCCAGGUAAUGUGUACUCGUGAUAUUUUUGUUCCUAGAGACAAAUGUAUACUGACCAUUACUUUAACAUGGUCAAGAAAGUUUGCUUUGGAAUCUAUUUACAAAGAUAUUUUGUAUAUUUUUCCUACUGUUAUAAUACUUGCAAAUAAGAGAAAAAAAAAGAUUAGGUCAUGACUGGAUGAUUUGGAUAAGUCUCCGUAAUAGCAAAUGUUUCGUAUGCGAGUGAAAUGUCUUCUUUGGAAGACACGACAUUUUUUUAAAAACAAGACUUUGAAGAUUAUAGACUCGUAUGGUUGUUGUUUUUUCCCCACUCUUCAUUUACACUGGUGUAUUGGUCACUGUGGGUCAUACCAUUUCUGAACUAGCUGUAUGUUCCUCUAGAUAUGUCUAUGUACAUACUACAUGCUCGUAUUUCAUCAUUCUAUUUCAAUAUUUUUUUUUCUAAUUAUUUUGGAAUGUCGCUUGUUGAUUAUAAUUUUAAAAGUCAAGAUCUUUGAGACUAACUUUAUUUAUCUUAAUAACUAGGUGUGCAUUCAUCCCAUUGCAGUUUUAUGCAGAAUGACCUAUGACCUGUACAUUUUGUUUUCCAAUGAUAUCAACAUGUGUUAUGUAUAACUAUGUUUAGAAGCAAGCACAAACUAAUGGUAAUUUUUUUUUGUCAAUAUCAUUACAUUUGGACCUUAGUCUUAUGAUGAUGCUACUUAUCUUAUUUUCUUAUCUUGAUUGUAUCGCAUAGUACUUAGUUGCUGGUUGUUCAUUCAGUCAUUGCCAAUGAUCGCCCUUGCUGGCGUACACACCAAAUUAUUUUUUUUCCUCGUCAUUACUUUCUUUCCGUUUUUCUCCCUUAGCUCCACAAAGUCUUCGGACUUGACAUCAGAGUGCAUUUUUACCUUUUCGGACACUCCACCUUUCCCAGAUGACCAUGAAACCUUUGGCAUAAUGAGGGUAGCAAUUUGAAAUAUUUUAGGGAACAAUCUUUCUGAAAUCUUCUUUGUCACUGAUCUGGGAAUUAGAUAUGGCCAUUCACACACAGAAAGACACAAAAUCACACAAUCAAUCCAUGGAUUUGUUAACAAGCGGAGAAGCCACCGGUUUUCGAACUAUAAGUCAUUUAGAUAAAGAUAAUAACAACAGGGAAAUACCUUUUCAGUUCCUAGGAGAAAAUUUAUAAAAAAAAAAAACUUUACAAAAAUAUUUGUGUCUUCACUUUGUUUUCAGCGAUAUUGAUUUAUUUUUAAAGAUAAAUCGGUACAUUCUAACUUUAUGAACUUUCCAACAUUCUAAGUAAAAGUGAUUGAACUGGAUUUACUUUCCAAAGUAAAACAAUCUACUUAAAAAAGUUACAAAUGGUUCUCUCUUUUUUUUUAAACGUAAUUUUUUCUCUGCUUUACACUUUUAUUAAACUCUGUAUUCUAUAUUUGUCUCUCUGAUUACACGAUGUAUUCGAUUCUCACUUGACUCGAUAGUCUCAUUCGAUUCGAUUCUCAUAUGAUGAGUUCUGACAUCUUUCAUUACAUGCAAGUUGCACGUGUAUUUGUCGGCGUGUGUAUGUGUGUGUAGCAUAUUUUGUUUUCCAUCUAGUUUGAUUUUGUCUUCUUUGAAUGGAAAGUUAAUAUAUUAACAAAUAGAUUAAUACAUGAACAUCGGAAUGUCUCAUUACGAUUGAAAUUCAAAUAUUAAAUUAUCUUCAAUAAAUAAUGUAAAAAAAAUAAAAUAAA